rnacentral:tRNA from 1 species
GCCGGGAUGGCGGAAUGGUAGACGCUACGGACUUAAAAUCCGUUGCCCGCAAGGGCGUGUGGGUUCGAGUCCCAUUCCCGGCA